rnacentral:lncRNA from 1 species
AUGAAAGGAAAGCUGCUGUCUGAGCAGCCCAGGAGAGAAAGAGCAUUCUGGCCAAGAGGAACUGCCGGCUUCCUCACAAGAAUCUGCCGCUCAGACGUCUCCAGCACCACACCUAUCACUGAGAUCUCAGGGUCUGGCCCACCUGCCGGGGCUCAGAGCCAAACGGACUUGGAAUUCUUCAAGGGACCCCACAGAGCUCACCUGAUCCAACUUCCCACCAACCCAUUCCCGCCCAAAGGCCCAAGUAGCGACACAGCCUCCAAGGCCUCCACUGGUCUGUGGCAGGAGGCUUCACAGACCUCCCUUUCUGCUCGUAAGUCAGAACAUGAUACAUAUAUGAUCAGUGGCCACGGACGCGGGGGUUGCCACAGGUCACCGUGGCUGUGCAGGUGUUGUGUGGCUGGCUGGACAGAUGGUGAGGUCGUGUGGGUAUUGUGUGGCUGUGUGGGUGUUGUGUGGCUGGGCAGAUGGUGUGGUUGCUGCAGUUUUCAUACUUACUGUUGUUGUUAGUUGUGUGAUCGUACACCGUGGUUGUUGCCAUCAUGGCGGCGGGGGCGGGGGGGUUCGGUCCUUGUUUUUGUGUGGCUGUUGCCAUUGCUGCCUGCUUGUUGCGGGGAUUCUGGCUGCUUCACCACAGCCUGAGGAGGAGGCUGCUGCGGGGAGGGGUGGCUUCUUGACACCUGACCCUCUCCCAUCUCAUGGCAUCGGGCUGCGCCCAGGCAAGCAGAAGGGCCAGGCAGAGAGAGGGAAUCUUCUCCAGGUGAGCGGCGGUUGGACGCACCAGCUUCUCCAGCCCCGCACCCCCCUCUCCGGCUGUGGGUGAUGCCCUGCACAGCUAUGCAGGCCACUCACCCAGAGCUGGGGCAAGUCCAAGCCCUUGAAAGCCUGAAGGUUCUCCUCUGCGAAGCACCACCUCUAUUCCUGAGAGUACUUUCCUGUGAAGAAACACAUUAUCUGCAUCAUCUGAAACAGACCUUGCCUCAUCCCCCUGCCCUGAGGGUGUCAAGCAAGCCCAGCAGACAGAGCAGACGGCCCUGGGGUGGGGAGGGGGGAAGAAAGCAAGCAAACAUCUGUCGGAUGGAGCAUAUGGGAAGACAUGUCUCACCUCAGAUCACAGCAGAGGGCCCAGCCCGUCGCCCAGCCUGAUGCCCACCUCUGUGGUCUUGGACCUGAACUCAGCAUGAGGCAGGGCAGGCUGUUCAGACCUCACCUCCACCCACCACCGUUCUGAGGGCCCCAUGAGCAGAUUAGAGCUGUGCUGAGGCCAUGUGGUUUCCCCAGCACAGCAAGCCAAGACACUCGGUUCUUAGUACCCAGGAUGGAACUUUACAUCGGCCUCAAGGAACCUGGGUCCUGUGCAAUAUAUCCGCUCCCCUGAACUCUGCUCCCGACCAGAAAUUUAUUUGUUUUAAAUGCAUUAGUAGAUAAUACGUCACAUGGUCUGAAAGGCAAAUGUACAAAAAGGGCAUACAGUGAAAUACACCCUCCCACACCUUUCUCACAUGAACUA